rnacentral:rRNA from 1 species
UACGAAGGGGGCUAGCGUUGCUCGGAAUCACUGGGCGUAAAGGGUGCGUAGGCGGAUAUUUAAGUCAGGGGUGAAAUCCCGGGGCUCAACCCCGGAACUGCCUUUGAUACUGGGUAUCUAGAGUCCGGAAGAGGUGAGUGGAAUUCAGAGUGUAGAGGUGAAAUUCGUAGAUAUUCGGAGGAACACCAGUGGCGAAGGCGGCUCACUGGUCCGGUACUGACGCUGAGGUGCGAAAGCGUGGGGAGCAAACAGG